UACGAAGGGGGCUAGCGUUGCUCGGAAUCACUGGGCGUAAAGGGUGCGUAGGCGGGUCUUUAAGUCAGGGGUGAAAUCCUGGAGCUCAACUCCAGAACUGCCUUUGAUACUGAAGAUCUUGAGUUCGGGAGAGGUGAGUGGAACUGCGAGUGUAGAGGUGAAAUUCGUAGAUAUUCGCAAGAACACCAGUGGCGAAGGCGGCUCACUGGCCCGGUACUCGACG
rnacentral:rRNA from 1 species